UGGGGAAUAUUGGACAAUGGGGGAAACCCUGAUCCAGCGACGCCGCGUGAGUGAAGAAGUAUUUCGGUAUGUAAAGCUCUAUCAGCAGGGAAGAAAAUGACGGUACCUGACUAAGAAGCCCCGGCUAACUACGUGCCAGCAGCCGCGGUAAUACGUAGGGGGCAAGCGUCAUCCGGAUUUACUGGGUGUAAAGGGAGCGCAGACGGCAAUGCAAGUCUGAAGUGAAAGGCGUGGGCUCAACCCAUGAACUGCUUUGGAAACUGUAUAGCUUGAGUGUCGGAGGGGUAAGCGGAAUUCCUAGUGUAGCGGUGAAAUGCGUAGAUAUUAGGAGGAACACCGGAGGCGAAGGCGGCUUACUGGACGACAACUGACGUUGAGGCUCGAAGGCGUGGGGAGCAAACAGGAUUAGAUACCCUGGUAGUCCACGCAGUAAACGAUGAAUACUUGGUGUCGGAGAGGUAAACUCUUCGGUGCCGCAAGCUAACGCAUUAAGUAUUCCACCUGGGGAGUACGUUCGCAAGAAUG
rnacentral:rRNA from 1 species